AGCAACCCCGUCUCGCCAUUCUGUGAGCCGUUUGCAACAUCGCGUGUUGCAGUAGGCCGCAGAUGAGCUCAUCAUCGGCUGUCAUCGAGGGGCACGCCAAGGAUCGCUGGAACUUCCGCAUUGAGGAUGCUGGAGUCCCUCCCACGAUGGUGGCGACGUCGUCGUGGGUUUUUCUGUCCUUUAUCGCAGCAGUGCUCUUUCUAGAGGUGCGUCCAGCAGCAAUUCGCCGCGCGCGAGCAUCGGCAGAGCACAAUGCGUGCGUGAUUGCGGAUGAUGUGAACAGAUCUGCGCACACUCGCCGGCUGUGGCGUCUGCUGUUGGCCGUGUGGACAUGCGCGCUUUACGACGUGGUGCACCGUACCUGCAGCUACUGUGUGCUAUCGGCCCACAUGCUCGCUCGGCGUCGCUUGCUGCCGCUGGGUAGAGACUUUUUGUGGGAUGGGCUGUGGACGGAGUGGGUGAACUGGGUGCGCUUCUACGUUCUCUGUGCACCCUCCGCGACGACAUCUGCGGCGGCACAACUCACAUCAUGCGCAGACUGGAAGCUUCCUGGGGCGGGCGCACUGUCCUAUGACCAGUACCCAGAGUACGCGGCCUUGAACGUGAGUAGCCCGGCUACACCAUCUGAGGUGAGGCUCUACCAUAGGGUGUGUCUCGUGUCGCUUGCAAUCACUUGGGUGGCGGUGGUGGCUUUGCACGGGCAGUACGCGCUUCUGCGUCGUCUCUUCUGCAGCGCCGCGUCGUCGGGCGCGACGAGGUCCAGCAAGGUUGUCGCUGAUGAGCCAGCGCGCGCGCGGGAGGGGCAGGCAAUGUGCGCACACGACCUCACCACAGCACUUGACGCCGCGGAGGCCCCAGGUGAUGAUUCCUGGGUAGACAGCCCCGAGGCUAUCGCCGAGGAGGCGCGAUGGCGACAGCAAGACGAGUACCUGAGCCUCCAGCGAGGGUCUGCGCAUUCAGUGGGCAUGUCUGCGGACGCUCCUGCUUUGCCUACCUCGCAUCUUGUGUGGCAGUGCUGGCCAUCUCUUGCGACCGCCGUCUACGCGACACUCUACGCCUCUGUUGGCGGACUGCCACUCCUCAUGAUCCUCCUCUUUCCUGCAGCCAUUGUGAUCAUCUCUGUCAUGGCAAUGCUGAUCACAGUGUAACGGGGGGGUGAGUAGAGUGUCUGAGCCCGCCAUGGACUUUUCUUCUCCGAACGGGCAUCACCGCUACCGGGAACCUGGGGCACCGCCCUCCUCCGCUCUUUUGCUGCCUCUGGUCCUUUUUUUUUCCGCGCUUAUCCGUUGCAGAUGGCGCGAUCCCGUCACCAUCUCCAACACCUCUCACCACACGGAAUACGCAUGCUGCAUCCUUUAUUAGGGAGGAGGAGUAGGAGUGGUGAGGGGGGGGGGUGAUCCCAACAACACGCGAGAGAGCCAGGGCGAAAAAAAAACGAACGGAACCACAUCCACGCUCGCUCAUUUGUCCACAAAAAAAAAAGCGGUGCGGUGCCCUCCCUCGCUCUUUCUUUUCCCGCGAUGCACAUGCUGAGCGGCGGGCAAGCAACUCGUAUUCACGCCCUCCAGUAAUUCCGAAGCACGGCGAGCACCUACGGCUUCCUCUCCUUGGCGAUCAUGGACACUGAAGCGGCGUUUGUGAAGGCAUGUCUGCGUUAUCCUCUUUUCCUCUGUCUCGUUCUCUCAUUACGUGUACACUGCGAUUUCGGAUUGUCGUGUGGGCAUUGCUCUCUUUAUCUUCCCUACAACACCCCUGGAUCCCGUGUGUGCGGCAG
rnacentral:misc_RNA from 1 species